CCUUAGACCCGGGCCUGUGCCAUCUGCCUCUGUCUCUGCCACCGCUGGGCACUGGGAGUCAGUGUGCGUGAGGCAGCUCUCUUCUGCUGCAAGAAACCAGCACAUGCUGUGGCUGCUGAAGCUUUUCAGCUAAUAGCACCCCCUUGUGGUCCCCCUUGAAAACCCCAGUUUCAGGUGAGAGAUGACUGGAAAUUAUGCUGAGAAGUGGGAACUGGGCCUGAAAAUGACAAAAACUGGAUUCGAUCAGCACACCUGUAAAAUCUUUGCAGGCUCAUUGACUGUAAUGAGAUCUGGAGAAUCCAUAAAGACGGCUGGGAUUUGACUGGGAGCCGAAAAUGCGGAGCUGGGAAUCAGCCGCAUUUCACGGACGGAGCAAACAAAAAAAAAGGCAGAUCUCAGAUGACUUGGCAGCGCUUUGCAUUACCCUCCUCUACGCCAGAUCCGAACAUUAAUUUCCCCACAGUCUGGAAUUCCUGUGUGGAGUGGGGGGGAAUUCACAGGAGAAGCAGGAUUGGCAUGGAGGCUUCUGGAUGUUUCUGUUUGCGGCCCAAAAGGGGCGUCGUGUGAUGAGAGCCAGGGUUUCUAUAAUCUCAAGCGUUGACAAGUGUCCAGUCCAUCAAUCAGGGGCUCCAGGGUUUCAUUCCUUUGCUUUAUCCAGGCCAACUUUCACACGGUCACCGCUGAUGUCUGAUAAAGCGAUUUUAUUAGGUCAAGGAGAGAUCGAGAGAGGGCUGCCCUACCGCUAACCAAAAGAUUUCUCUGAACGCCGCCCAGACGGCCUUGCCAGUUUCACUCUAACAUCUCUGGGAUGUUUUUCUCCGUCAGAUAAACAUCAGGGCAGAUUUUCCUUCUUAAUCUGUCAAAAGGGUUCAAAGAGGAUCUAAAAAUAUCCUGUCAGUGUUUGCCCAUGAUGUCCAACUAAAUUAGGGGAGGAGCAGGGCUAAACAAAAUUUGCAUCAGACAACUUAAAUGAGUCCAGGAGUUUUUAUUAGAUUAUACGUCCAUAAUUGUGUUAGGUUUUAAAAUGAUAGAGAAUAACUCUGACAACUCUGAUAAUAGAGAAUAACUCUGUUGCAGAAUAACUGGAUACAAUAAGGUGUUGAAAUAUAAAUAUAGCCAUUUUCACUGAUAAUCAGCUGUUUUUGUAUGUUGGCUAGGCAUGUUAAUAAGUAAAUUAUGUUUUUUUUCUUCAAACUUUUAUUUUUUUAUUUUUUACAAUUAAAACUGCUUUGGGAACUUUUCAUUUGUCAUUUAUUUUGUUGUAUUGUAUUAUUAAUGUUUAAAAUGUAAUUUCCAAUCUGUCAUUUCUACUACAGAAUGAUUUUUACAUCAUUCUAAAUGUGAUGGACAUUACAUUGUAGUGAUAAUGUUCAUGAUAUUUCAGGGGAAAAAAAGUGUUAAAUCACAGAUUUCUUCUGUGAUACCGUAUGUAAACAAUCAUACAUUUUAAGCGGAAAAAUUAAAUAAAAUUAUCAGAAUGUAUAUUAUACUUAUAUAUUUAUAUAUUAAUCAAAAGCUUUGAAACUUUCAAAAAAUGUUUCAACAACAUAUUUUAUUUUUUAAAAGUAUCAGUGAGUGAGAACUGCAUAUGCAAAUGGAAAUUAGCUUUUGUGUUUGUCAAUUUGCAAAAACAUUUAAACUUUUAGAUGAUCUAUGACUGUUGUUUGUAUGGGGAGACAUGAGGAUGAAGAUUCACAUGUUGAUAUAGAGAUGAUUGCAUUCCGUACACCAGUUUAACACACACCUGCGUGUAAAUCUGAGUAACCACCUGCUGUUAAUAAACACAUACUGUUCAAGUGAGGCUUAGAGUUUAACCUAGAACACAUUUCAUAAGUACAUGAUUUCAAACACACACACACACACCCUCACACAGCUCCAUAUUUCAUGCCAGUCUAUCCUAUUUAUUAUUAAUGAGCAUGUAAAUAAUCUUUUGCCGACCUGAGGUCUCAGGCUCAAUUAUUUUGAUUGUGUUUUUUCCUCUAGUGUCCCAGCUGAGCUGUGUGGCCUGGCCUGAGAGAAUCCGAGCCCUAUCAGCAUAACGUAUGAUUUCAUGCUCUCUGCCCUUCUGCUAUAACCUGCUGGAGUCUUGCUGACCUUGAAACUUGAAUUUCUUUUCCUCUGUUCCUCUUCACCACUUCCUUUGGCUGUUACGUGCAGACUUGAUAAUCCAAACAAAGAUGCUUGACGCAGAAGAACAACAAACUCACAUUAAAUUAUCACCAGGAACAAUACAGAUAAAAACCAGUGUAAAUCUUCAACACUUUGUGUUCGAAAUCGCCCCCAAUUCCAUCAUUCACUAUUCUCUACAUUAUUCCACUAAUAUCAUCCACUUGAAGGAGUGAAACCCUCUUUUGGCAUUAAAAACUACUGUCGGGAUUUACUAAAGACACGCAGUGUAAAAUUAGUGCUGAAAAGGUGUGG